rnacentral:lncRNA from 1 species
AUGGAUGAUUUUGUCUCCACAGACAAAGUGAUUCUCAACACCUCAAACAUGAGGCCGAAGAUGGUAAAAAAAAAGAGACAGAGAGUGGCGGAGUAAUGGCAGUCGGUCACGGUCUCUGGCUGGCCGUUCUAUUCCGACGAUUGGCAUCUACGGUGACAAGUAAAAAGAUGCGAUCUUGACAAGAUGUGGAGACAGAAUUGCCGAUUAUUGUAGUCUCUCACUAAUGUAAGUCUACUUCAUUUUGUUAAUUCUAAUGAAUCUUUCAUUACUGAUUUGAAUUUGUUAAAUUCAUAUGUCGGACAUGGGAUUCUGUUUGUUUGAUUGAGGAUCAUGGACUCAAGCGUUUUCUGUGAUCAUCUAUAUUAAUUGUUUUGGUGGUAUUAUAUUAUUGUUUUCCUCACAUGUUAAAUUUUGUAAAACCUUGCAAAAGUUUCUUAUGACUUUUUAACUAAGUGAUUCUAUUGAAAUCUUUCUUGCUACAUCUAAUACACACACACACACACACUAACCCUAGCUCAGGUAAAUAAGUGAUUAGUCAUUACAAAUAGUUUAUGGGGUUGUAGACACAGGAUCCGGCCAGUGAUGUGCGUGUAGUGUAAUAUAUUUUUGGUAUAUAUUUUAAGCCCUUUUUACACUUUUUAGCCAACUUUUAAAUUUAUAAAACACGAUAUUUUUACUAACACUAAACACACAUAUGGGCAAGUGCACCCAUCGUGGACGUAAUAUAGUGUUGGUAAGAUACCGAGGUCGUCCAAGGACACAAGAGCUUUUAGUACCGGUUUAUCCUCAACGUCUAAUCAAAUCAAAAUGUUAGAAAAGAUUUUUAAACUAAGAAAAUAAAACUAACUAAAUGCUGAAAAGUAAAAUAAAAAUAAAAACAGAUAGACAAGAUGAAUCACUUGGAUCCAACUCGUGUAUUAGUAUAACCUUUGAUUAUUUUCGCACUUUUGCACUUGUUUAAGAGAUUAUCUUAGUUAUUGUAGUAGGCCCCUCUUUUGAAGGCGACGUUACCCUCAACCCAGUAGUUUGAGUCAGCAUGGAUACAAUCUUAAAGGGUCGGAUUAUUGAAAGAUAAUGAAUUAAGUUCUUAAUGCAAAUUAUGGUAGGCCCCUCUUUUGGAGGUGACGUUACCCUCGACUAAGUAGUCUGAGUCAGCAGGGAUACAGUCCUAAAUAGCCGGGUUAUAGUAUUAAUAGUAGUUUACUUAUGAGGGGGUCAAAGAGUUUGGAUCCCCGCCAUCCAAUACCUUUGGGUAUUGAAGGAGAUCCUACUAAAUUUGACCCAGGUCCCUUGCAGGACCUCUAAACGCUGAACAAGGGCAAGACCCUUACCAAACCGUUCCCUUAACCCCCGACCAGGUAGCCAACAUACCUCCAUAUAGACCGUGGAGAUAUGAAUGGUGAAAAUCUUUUAUUUUAUAUAGAUAGUAAAAUAAUGCCAAGACACCACGGACAAACGAUAAGGAAAAGUCACCUUCACCAUAAGAAACUAGUUAUUAAAGUCAUUAAUAC